rnacentral:rRNA from 1 species
GAUGAACGCUGGCGGCGUGCCUAAUACAUGCAAGUCGAGCGAACCGACGAGGAGCUUGCUCCUCUGACGUUAGCGGCGGACGGGUGAGUAACACGUGGAUAACCUACCUAUCAGACUGGGAUAACUUCGGGAAACCGGAGCUACUACCGGAUAAUAUAUUGAACCGCAUGGUUCAAUAGUGAAAGACGGUUUUGCUGUCACUUAUAGAUGGAUCCGCGCCGCAUUAGCUAGUUGGUAAGGUAACGGCUUACCAAGGCAACGAUGCGUAGCCGACCUGAGAGGGUGAUCGGCCACACUGGAACUGAGACACGGUCCAGACUCCUACGGGAGGCAGCAGUAGGGAAUCUUCCGCAAUGGGCGAAAGCUUGACGGAGCAACGCCGCGUGAGUGAUGAAGGUCUUCGGAUCGUAAAACUCUGUUAUUAGGGAAGAACAAAUGUGUAAGUAACUAUGCACGUCUUGACGGUACCUAAUCAGAAAGCCACGGCUAACUACGUG